rnacentral:rRNA from 1 species
UUGAACGCUGGCGGCAUGCCUUACCCAUGCCAGUCGAACGGCAGCACGGGUGCUUGCACCUGGUGGCGAGUGGCGAACGGGUGAGUAAUACAUCGGAACAUGUCCUGUAGUGGGGGAUAGCCCGGCGAAAGCCGGAUUAAUACCGCAUACGAUCUACGGAUGAAAGCGGGGGACCUUCGGGCCUCGCGCUAUAGGGUUGGCCGAUGGCUGAUUAGCUAGUUGGUGGGGUAAAGGCCUACCAAGGCGACGAUCAGUAGCUGGUCUGAGAGGACGACCAGCCACACUGGGACUGAGACACGGCCCAGACUCCUACGGGAGGCAGCAGUGGGGAAUUUUGGACAAUGGGCGAAAGCCUGAUCCAGCAAUGCCGCGUGUGUGAAGAAGGCCUUCGGGUUGUAAAGCACUUUUGUCCGGAAAGAAAUCCUUGGCCCUAAUACGGUCGGGGGAUGACGGUACCGGAAGAAUAAGCACCGGCUAACUACGUG